CCCACGUUCUCUAAGUGGCCGGAGAAAGUAGGGAGUGCUGUGGAGAGCUACUAAAACUACCCAUGGGAAGAAAUACCAAGGAGUAUUAGGAACAUGACUACGUAUCUCAUACUGUCAGAGAGCAGGAUACAAAGAGCUUUUAUGCUGAUUGUCACCCCGUGUGGUGGGGAAGGAAGAGCGAACCGGGAGAGCUGUAGCAUAAUGACUUCUUACGCUUACCUGGCUGGGAGAGCAGAAGACCAAGCCCUGUAGGAAGCUCCAUCAGACCUUGUGGUGUAGCUGCUGUUGGAUAACAGGAAUCACUGGAAGAGACAGGGAGACAGCUAGAGACACUGGAAGCCCUACGGUGGCCAUUGAGCAGACACAUCAUAGCUGCACGGACACAAAGGUGGUUUCAAGGUGACUGGUGCCCCAUUUCUGGUCGUGGUGAGCCUUAAGAUUGUGGUCCUGAGGCAACUCUGAAGCACAUUGCUCCAAGCAAUGUACAAGAUAAUUGAAGACACUUUCCCUAAGCUACAAGUCAGCAGUAGUACUACAGGGGUAGCUGUGAAGCAACAAACUU